GUGAGUUUUUACUGCAUCAACUCCUGGAGAGAGGCAGUCACACCUUUACAAAAGGAGCAUGAGCUCCAAGCGAAGGCGCUUUGUGGAAUGGGAAUGGAUGGUGUUUAAGUGUGGUGGAAGAUACAUCCAUCUGAGGAGUGACUCUGUCUUGGUUGUCCCAAAGCUGUAGAAAUAGUCCAUUGUGUAAAUGUUCCAUAGCUGUUUAUUCAUUCAUCUACUGAUGGACACUUGGGGAAGGGAGGAAGAAAGAAGGGGAGAGAAACAUCACUGUGUGAGGCAACAAUGAUCAGCAGCCUCUGGCAUACACCCCAACAAGGACAACCCACAACCCAGGAACAUCUCCUUAAUUUUAACCUUGGGCGGACUCUGACCAAGAUGGAGGCAUAGCUAGACACACUGUGCCUCCACAAACAACCAAAAUUAAGGACAACAAAAAUAUAUAGAAACAAACAAACAAACAAAAAACAACUAGAACUGAGAGAAAAUUGAACUGUAUGGAAGUCCGACAACCAUUCAUCCAGACCAGUAAGAGGGGUUGAGUCAGCGGCCGGCAGAGAGGGGUUGCAGCAGAAAAAAGUGGUGGCUGGUGGACCCAGGUGCGCAGGUGGCAACUGUCAUACCCAAGGCGUGGGGAGGCAAUGAGCAGACCCAGUGUGGCACUCAAGGUGGCUGGCUGACUGUGGUCCCACAUUCGUGCACAGAUAACCAGGUGAAAACAGGCAUCAAGACAGACCAUGCAACCCAGGGCCUCUGCGCUGGAAAAUAAAGCCUAAAAGCACCGAUUGAAAACACUUUGGGGGUUGAGGUGUCUGGAGAGACUCCCAGACUCACAGGAGAGUUCAUUGGAGAGACCCACAGGGUCCUAGAAUGUACGCAAACUCACCCACAUGGGAAUCAGCACCAGAAGGGCCCAAUUUGCUUGUGGGAAGCAGCAGAGGGGAAUGAAAUCUGAGAGAGAGUGGAGCAAGUGCUAUUGUUCCCUCUCUGAGCCUGCCCCCACAUACAGCAUCACAACCCAGCAAUGUGGGUUGGUCUGCCUUGGUGAACACCUAAGGCCCCACCCCUCACUGCAUAACAGGUGCGACCAGACCAAAAAAAAAUUUUAAAGUCUCAAAUGGAAGAACUGAUUGAAGCCCCAAAACCAAUACUUUUAAGAGACGAAGGGAUAGCCAACCUAUCAGAUGCACAGUCCAAAGCACUAGUGAUCAGGAUGCUCACAGAAUUGAUAUUUUUGUCACAAAUUAGAUGAAAAAAUGAAGGCUAUAGUAAGUGAAAUGAAGGAAAAUGCACAGGGAACAAAUAGUAAUGGGAAGGAAACUGAGACUCAAAGCAAUUGGAGUGGGCCAGAAGGAAGAAAGAAACAACCAAACAGAAAAGAAUGAAGUAACAAGAAUUCAAAAAAAUGAGGAGAGGCUAAGGAACCUCCAGGACAUCUUUAAACGUUCCAACAUUUGAAUUAUAGGGGUACCAGAAGAAGAAGAGGAAGAACAACAAGUGGAAAGCUUAUUUGAACAAAUAAUGAAGGAGAACUUCCCUAAUCUAGCAAAGGAAAUAGACUGCUAGGAAGUCCAGGAAGCUCAGAGAGUCCUGAACAAGUUGGACCAAAGGAAGAACACACCAAGGUUCAUCAUAAGUACAUUACCCAAGAUUAAAAUGAAGGAGACAAUUCUAGAAGAAACAAGAGAUAAGGGGACAAUCACCUACAAAGGAGUUCCCAUCAGACUGUCAGCUGAUUUCUCCAAAGAGACCUUUCAGGCAAGAAGGGGCUGAAAAGAAGUAUUCCAAGUCAUGAAAUCCAAAGACCUACAUCCAAGAUUGCUCUAUCCAGCAAAGCUUGCAUUUAAAAUGGAAGGGCAGAUAAAGUGCUUCUCAGAUAAGGUCAAGUUCAAGGAGUUUAUCAUCACCAAGCCCUUACUAUAUGAAAUGUUAAAGGGACUUAUCUAAGGAAAAGAAGAUAAAAAACAUGAACAGUAAAAAGACAGCAAACUCCAUUAUUAACAACCACACUUAAAACAAAAGCAAACUAAGCAAACAACUAGAACAUGAACAGAACCACAGAAAGGAAAUCACAUGGAGGGUUAGCAACAGGGGAGUGGGAGGAUGGGAGAUGGGGAAAAGGUACCGAGAAUAAGUAGCAUAGAUGGUAGGUAGAAAAUAGAUGGGGAAGGCAAAAAUAGUAUGGGAAAUGUGAAAGCUAAUGAACUUAAGACACAUGGACAUGAACUAAAGUGGGGAAUGUGCAUGGGAAGGGGUGUUCAGGGUAA